CUCGUGUCGUGAGAUGUUGGUUAAGUCCGCAACGAGCGCAACCUCGCCUCUAGUUGCCAGCAUUCGGUUGGGCACUCUAGAGGGACUGCGGCGACAAGUCGGAGAAGGUGGGGAUGACGUCAAAUCAUCAUGCCCCUUAUGACCUGGGCUACACACGUGCUACAAUGGGCGGUACAAAGGGUCGCGAACCCGCGAGGGGGAGCCAAUCCCAAAAAGCCGCUCUCAGUUCGGAUUGCAGGCUGCAACUCGCCUGCAUGAAGCCGGAAUCGCUAGUAAUCGCGGAUCAGCAUGCCGCGGUGAAUACGUUCCCGGGCCUU
rnacentral:rRNA from 1 species